rnacentral:misc_RNA from 1 species
GAUUUGAUUUGGGUACAUAGCUUAUUAUAGAGACAUGCUCACAACUCUUAACAUCAAGUCCUCCAUCAAAUUUGAUAAUACCAUCACAAACAGUUGUCAAAACAUGUAUACUAUGUAUCGAGAACAACAAAUAUGGAACUAGAACGAGAAGGAUUAUCAAUCUCUUCUUUAAUGUUCUCCCUGAUAGAUUAUUCGAACACCACGAAGUAGACAAUGGGAAAAUGUUACAUGGGUCGAGUGUUCCCAAGAAGCGUCCCCACAAGGUUAGUCACCUGCCAGUACUUUGAAACGCAUCGGUCAAUACAACUAUUUUCACCCAUGUUCAACUCCGAGUCCUUGUACUUGUUCUCGACGCAUUUUUUGAAGCAUGUAUGCGUAAGCUUGUUAAACAUCUCCACUCUAUACUCCAUCUCUUUCUCUGCCAUAGAGAAUAUCUGUUCUCUUUCAAGGUUAGAAGGAACACCAGCCAUUAUAACCUUUUCAAGAAUGGAAAAUUAGGUGAAACCCCAGAAAGUGAAUCCAAGAAUGAGAGGCGCAAAGAAGAGAAAGAGGACUUGUGAGGGUUUUGAGUUUUGAGUUUUGAGGUUUAACUGACCUUUUCAAGAA